GAUGAACGCUGGCAGCGUGCCUAAUACAUGCAAGUCGAGCGAACAGAUGAGAAGCUUGCUUCUCUGAUGUUAGCGGCGGACGGGUGAGUAACACGUGGGUAACCUACCUAUAAGACUGGGAUAACUCCGGGAAACCGGGGCUAAUACCGGAUAAUAUUUUGAACCGCAUGGUUCAAUAGUGAAAGACGGUUUCGGCUGUCACUUAUAGAUGGACCCGCGCCGUAUUAGCUAGUUGGUAAGGUAACGGCUUACCAAGGCGACGAUACGUAGCCGACCUGAGAGGGUGAUCGGCCACACUGGAACUGAGACACGGUCCAGACUCCUACGGGAGGCAGCAGUAGGGAAUCUUCCGCAAUGGGCGAAAGCCUGACGGAGCAACGCCGCGUGAGUGAUGAAGGUCUUCGGAUCGCAAAACUCUGUUGUUAGGGAAGAACAAAUUUGUUAGUAACUGAACAAAUCUUGACGGUACCUAACCAGAAAGCCACGGCUAACUACGUGCCAGCCGCCGCAGUAA
rnacentral:rRNA from 1 species